GGAAUACUUGUAUUCCUGAAAGUGGCGAACGGGUGAGUAACACGUAGGUAACCUGCCGCGUAGUGGGGAAUAACGACUGGAAACGGUCGCUAAUACCGCAUAUGUCUCUUAAGACGGGCGUCUUUGGGGGCAAAGCUUAAUGCGCUACGCGAGGGGCCUGCGUCCGAUUAGCUAGUUGGUGAGGUAACGGCUCACCAAGGCUGUGAUCGGUAGCUGGUCUGAGAGGACGAUCAGCCACACGGGAACUGAGACACGGUUCCGACUCCUACGGGGGGCAGCAGUGAGGAAUAUUGCACAAUGGGGGCAACCCUGAUGCAGCAACGCCGCGUGGGGGAUGAAGGCUCUUGGG
rnacentral:rRNA from 1 species